UACGUAGGGUGCAAGCGUUAUCCGGAAUUACUGGGCGUAAAGCGUGCGCAGGCGGUUGUGCAAGACAGAUGUGAAAAUCCCCGGGCUCAACCUGGGAAUUGCAUUUGUGACUGCACGGCUAGAGUGUGUCAGAGGGGGGGGUAGAAUUCCACGUGUAGCAGUGAAAUGCGUAGAGAUGUGGAGGAAUACCGAUGGCGAAGGCAGCCCCCUGGGAUA
rnacentral:rRNA from 1 species